rnacentral:lncRNA from 1 species
UAUCUUGGGACAAAGUGCCAGAGCCUGCAGUCUGCUGUCUUAGGCAUUGAAAUUGUGAAGUCAUUUGUAAUUUAUGGCACAAGAAUAUUAUUAGAUAUAAUGAAGAGUAAAUAAAGCAAUUUGAAAGGAAGAUCCAGAAUGAACCACCAUAGGCAGAGAAUGGUGCUGGAUUCCGGGAUGCCAUAAGUUGAUUGUAGUGUGAAGUUUGGUAUUUGAGGUCAGACAGAUGAUGUUAUUGCCUUUCAGCAUUGUUGGCAAUGCUUUGUGAAGACGUGUG